CAUCCCCCGUGACCCGUGUGAUAAGUUAGGGUUUGCCCGGUUUUGAAGCAGAAGCUAGGGUUUGAUCACCAUGAGGGCCAAGUGGAAGAAGAAGCGCAUGAGGAGGUUGAAGAGGAAGCGCCGAAAGAUGAGGCAGAGAUCCAAGUAGAACCAUCUUGUGGUUUUCAUGUUCUAGGGUUUUGGUUACAUUUCUAGCUUCUGUAAACGAACCAGUUGUUGGAUUUGGUUAUUAGUUUUGUGUUUUAUGUGAUUUACUUGACCUCCGUUUGGUUCUUGGGAAAAAAAUGGAAGAAAAAGAAAAUGCUUAGAAGGCUGCUCGAUUGAGUGUUAUAAGAAUUUUCUAUAUUUUUCUAAAAAAAACCUGGAAUGGAACUGGAUGCGAGUAGAUUUUGGUUGUUUU